AGUAAAGAAAGCAGCUUGCCAACUUGUUCAUCCAAUUGCUCUAAAUAAUCUCUUUCCAGGAAUCAAGUGAUUCAAGAGGCAGGGACUGUUGCUUCUUCAUUUCACUGUCUAAAGGAACCAUAUGUUACCAUUCUUAUUCAGAGGGGAACACUCCUGAGGAUCUUGAUUAAAGGCAACUCAUGCCACCAACGGUAUUUCUAUGAUCUACCUACUAUGGAGCUGAAAAGUAAAGAUGGAAAUAAGCCUAUCUACAAACAGGAUGCUCUCUAUCAAGAGUCAUGAGAAUUGUCUUCAGAGGGUGCUGAAGAGACAUCAACCUGUCUUCUUUGAGACUCCUAGUGUUGGUGUGGAAGAUGCUACUGGAGACAACAGGUUCCUCCAGGCCUGAUUGCUUGGUCAAUUGUGAAUCACCUUUGAUGAAACAUACUCCGGCAUAAGAUGAGCCAGCGUGUGGCACCUGGCAUUUCAUUAAACAAUUGCACUGACUUAGAGGAUGCCCAGGAACCCAGACCACUACAUACACCAAAUCUCUUUUCUGAAAAUCCAUGGAGAAAUUUUUCCAGAAUACCCACUUGGAAAAGAGAAGAAGUACAUACCCCUUCAUCUUAGGUCAUGUCUUUUUCUGAGGUCCUAUUUCAGUAGUACAGACGCCUCUGAGCUGAAGAGAGGUAAAGAAAAGAACAUGCUGUCUCGCACACAAAAUCUUUGACUGACCACCAGCCACCUCCCAGUAUCUGGAGAAAUUCUGGCCUCACGAACUGUCCGCAAAGCUUUGAGUGAUAAAGUCCUGCAGAAACUUUAAGAGCAACUAACUCUCCCAGGGCAUGCCAACGAUACUUGAUUUAAAGCAUAACAG
rnacentral:lncRNA from 1 species